GAUUGUUUUGGCCGAGUUGAAUUCUCGGGGAUGUUAUAUGUAUAGGGGAAGUGCUGCCGAAAUUUCGGUAGACAAAUAUAAAGUUAAGUGAAUUCUUAAAGUCUUGUAAUUCCUAAUUGGUAACUUUGACCAUUUGUAGAUUCGGAGUGAAACGGGAUUUGAGUUUUGGCGAACGUAAGACGCAUAUAAGGUACCGACGACAGGUUUGCUGAGCCGUCCGCUUAGGAUCUUAUUCUCCUAUUUUGGAGCGCUCUCUUAUCCAGAGCCCAUCUUUUGGUAUAGUCUGUCACUACUGUAUAUAUAUAUAUUCUCGUUCAUGGGUAUGGCGGGGCCCUGUCCCGUCAUAUGAUUCUGUCGGUCUGUUUAGAGGUCUGUGGACAUGUUUGUGGGUUAGGGUCUUUCUG